CCUUCGAUAGCUCAGUUGGUAGAGCGGUGGACUGUAGAUCCAUAAGUCGCUGGUUCAAAUCCGGCUCGAAGGA
rnacentral:tRNA from 1 species